rnacentral:sRNA from 1 species
GCCAGGCACGGUGGUGCACACUUGUAAUCCCAGCAGCUCAGGAGGCUGAGGCAGGAGGAUCAUGAGUUCAAAGCCAGCCUCAGCAAAAAGCAAGGUACUAAACAACUCAGUGAGAUCCUGUCUCUA